UGUCGGAGUAGGGAAGAGGUCAUCCCGCGUGGCUCAUAACCACGAGAUCGCGAGUUCGAAUCUCGCCUCCGCAACCA
rnacentral:tRNA from 4 species